UUUGGGUUGUCUCCCUUUGGAGAAUAUAAGAACUUUUGUCUUGUUAACAUUUAUUUUAAGUUGCCAUUUUUCACAAUAAUCAUCAAAUUCAUUUAACAUGUUUUGUAAAUCUUCACUACUCUCGGAAAACAUCACAGUGUCAUCCGCAUAUAAUAACAUAAAUAUUUUUAAAAAUACUGUUAACUCGUGUUCGAGGUCAUCACUAAUAGAAUUUACACCAAGUACAUCUUUGCCUUCAAAAAAAUGCUGUAAAUCAUUUAAAAAUAUUGCAAACAGAGCAGGGGAAAGAUUUUCUCCCUGUCUUACAC
rnacentral:lncRNA from 1 species